CAGUCGCCGCGGUAACACGUAGGUGGCAAGCGUUGUCCGGAAUUAUUGGGCGUAAAGGGCUCGCAGGCGGUUUCUUAAGUCUGAUGUGAAAGCCCCCGGCUCAACCGGGGAGGGUCACUGGGAACUGGGAAACUUGAGUGCAGAAGAGGAGAGUGGAAUUCCACGUGUAGCGGUGAAAUGCGUAGAGAUGUGGAGGAACACCAGUGGCGAAGGCGACUCUCUGGUCUGUAACUGACGCUGAGGAGCGAAAGCGUGGGGAGCGAACAGGAUUAGAUACCCGCGUAGUCCCUGUCUCUUAUAC
rnacentral:rRNA from 1 species